GGCAAGGGACAUAGGAUGACCCCAGCCUGUCCCCUCUUACUGUCUGUGAUUCUGUCCCUGCGCCUGGCCACGGCCUUCGACCCUGCCCCCAGUGCCUGCUCUGCCCUGGCCUCGGGCGUGCUCUACGGGGCCUUCUCGCUGCAGGACCUCUUUCCCACCAUCGCCUCGGGCUGCUCCUGGACCCUGGAGAACCCAGACCCCACCAAGUACUCCCUCUACCUGCGCUUCAACCGGCAGGAGCAGGUUUGCACACACUUUGCCCCGCGCCUGCUGCCCCUGGACCACUACCUGGUCAACUUUACCUGCCUGCGGCCUGGUCCAGAGGAAGCCACAGCCCGGGCUGAGUCGGAGGUGGGACGGCCAGAGGAGGAGGAGGAGGAGGCGGCGGCAGCAGCAUCAGGGUUGGAGUUGUGUGGUGGCUCAGGCCCCUUUACCUUUCUGCACUUCGACAAGAACUUUGUGCAGCUGUGCCUGUCGGCUGAGCCCUCUGAGGCCCCUCGUCUGCUAGCGCCUGCUGCCCUGGCCUUCCGUUUUGUGGAGGUCUUGCUGAUCAACAACAACAACUCCAGCCAGUUCACCUGUGGUGUGCUCUGCCGCUGGAGUGAGGAGUGUGGCCGGGCUGCAGGCAGGGCUUGUGGCUUUGCACAGCCAGGGUGUAGUUGUCCUGGGGAGGCAGGGGCCAACCCCGCCACCACCACAUCUCCGGGGCCUCCGGUUGCCCACACCCUGUCCAAUGCCCUGGUGCCCGGGGGCCCAGCCCCUCCUGCUGAGGCCGACUUGCACUCGGGGAGCAGCAAUGACCUGUUCACCACCGAGAUGAGAUAUGGUGAGGAGCCGGAAGAGGAACCGAAGGUGAAAACCCAGUGGCCAAGGUCUGCAGAUGAGCCUGGGCUAUACAUGGCGCAGACAGGCGACCCAGCAGCUGAGGAGUGGUCCCCGUGGAGCGUGUGUUCCCUGACGUGUGGGCAGGGUCUGCAGGUGCGGACCCGCUCCUGCGUGUCCUCCCCCUAUGGGACCCUGUGCAGCGGGCCCCUUCGGGAGACCCGGCCUUGCAACAAUUCAGCCACCUGCCCAGUGCACGGCGUGUGGGAGGAGUGGGGGUCCUGGAGCCUGUGCUCCCGCAGCUGCGGGCGGGGGUCUCGGAGCCGGAUGCGGACCUGCGUGCCCCCCCAGCACGGCGGCAAGGCCUGCGAGGGUCCCGAGCUGCAGACUAAACUCUGCAGUAUGGCCGCCUGCCCGGUGGAAGGCCAGUGGCUAGAAUGGGGUCCCUGGGGCCCAUGCUCAUCAUCUUGUGCCAAUGGGACCCAGCAGCGCAGCCGGAAAUGCAGUGUGGCGGGUCCAGCCUGGGCCACGUGCGCAGGUGCCCUCACGGAUACCCGUGAGUGCAGCAAUCUCGAUUGCCCGGCCACUGACGGCAAGUGGGGGCCGUGGAACGCGUGGAGCCUGUGCUCCAAGACGUGUGACACGGGCUGGCAACGCCGCUUCCGCAUGUGCCAGGCUUCUGGCACACAGGGCUACCCUUGCGAGGGCACAGGAGAGGAGGUGAAACCCUGCAGUGAGAAGAGGUGUCCAGCCUUCCAUGAGAUGUGCAGGGAUGAGUACGUGAUGUUGAUGACAUGGAAGAGGGCGGCAGCUGGCGAGAUCAUUUACAACAAGUGUCCCCCUAAUGCCUCGGGUUCUGCUAGCCGCCGCUGUCUCCUCAGUGCCCAGGGCGUAGCAUACUGGGGACUGCCCAGCUUUGCUCGUUGCAUAUCCCAUGAAUACCGCUACCUGUACCUGUCACUUCGGGAACACCUGGCUAAGGGCCAGCGCAUGCUGGCAGGUGAGGGCAUGUCACAGGUGGUGCGGAGCCUGCAGGAGCUACUGGCACGGCGCACUUACUACAGCGGGGACCUGCUCUUCUCUGUGGACAUCCUAAGGAACGUCACUGACACCUUCAAGAGGGCCACCUAUGUCCCUUCCGCCGAUGACGUGCAGCGUUUCUUCCAGGUGGUGAGCUUCAUGGUGGAUUCAGAAAACAAGGACAAAUGGGAUGAUGCUCAGCAGGUGUCACCGGGCUCUGUGCACCUGCUGCGUGUUGUGGAAGAUUUCAUUCACCUCGUGGGCGACGCUCUCAAGGCCUUCCAGAGCUCUCUCAUUGUCACGGACAAUCUGGUGAUCAGCAUUCAGAGAGAGCCUAUCUCCGCCGUGUCCAGUGACAUCACGUUUCCCAUGCGGGGCCGCAGGGGCAUGAAGGACUGGGUGCGACACUCAGAGGAUCGUCUCUUUCUACCCAAGGAGGUGCUCAGCCUGUCCUCCCCAGGAAAGCCAGCCACACCUGGGGCAGCCACAGCAGGCAGCCCGGGCAGGGGGAGGGGCCCAGGAACGGUGCCCCCUGGCCCAGGCCACGCCCACCAGCGCCUUCUCCCAGCUGACCCCGAAGAGUCCUCCUCCUACUUUGUGAUCGGUGCUGUGCUCUACCGCACCCUUGGCCUCAUCCUGCCGCCCCCCAGGCCUCCACUUGCUGUCACCUCCCGGGUGAUGACAGUGACUGUGCGUCCCCCCACCCAGCCUCCAGCUGAGCCCCUCAUUACAGUGGAACUCUCGUACAUCAUCAAUGGCACCACCGAUCCCCACUGUGCCAGCUGGGACUACUCCAGAGCAGAUACCAACUCGGGGGACUGGAACACUGAGAGCUGCCAGACCUUGGAGACCCAGGCGGCUCACACCCGCUGCCAGUGCCAGCACCUGUCCACCUUUGCCGUCCUGGCCCAGCCACCCAAGGACCUGACCCUGGAGCUGGCAGGUGCUCCCUCUGUCCCCCUGGUGAUCGGCUGUGCAGUGUCCUGCAUGGCUCUGCUCACCCUGCUGGCCAUCUAUGCAGCCUUCUGGAGGUUUAUAAAAUCAGAACGCUCCAUCAUCUUGCUGAACUUCUGCCUGUCCAUCCUGGCUUCCAACAUUCUGAUCCUGGUGGGCCAGUCCCGGGUGCUGAGCAAGGGCGUAUGCACCAUGACGGCUGCCUUCCUACACUUCUUCUUUCUGUCCUCCUUUUGCUGGGUGCUUACAGAGGCCUGGCAAUCCUAUCUGGCUGUCAUCGGGCGGAUGCGCACCCGCCUGGUUCGCAAGCGCUUCCUCUGCCUGGGCUGGGGUCUACCUGCCCUGGUGGUGGCUGUGUCUGUUGGCUUUACUCGCACCAAAGGAUAUGGUACAUCCAGCUACUGCUGGCUGUCCCUAGAGGGCGGCCUGCUCUAUGCCUUCGUGGGUCCAGCAGCAGUCAUUGUCCUGGUGAACAUGCUCAUCGGGAUUAUCGUCUUCAACAAGCUCAUGGCUCGCGAUGGCGUCUCAGACAAAUCUAAGAAGCAGAGGGCUGGGUCGGAGCGGUGCCCCUGGGCCAGCCUGCUCCUUCCCUGCUCAGCGUGUGGAGCGGUCCCCAGCCCCCUGCUCAGCUCAGCCUCGGCCAGGAAUGCCAUCCGACUGUCUUGGAAUCUCUGGGGAUAUGGCUCUCAACUGUGUCUUUUUCCAAAGCUUCCAAGGGCUUCACUCUGGAGUUCCUGCGUGGUACUGCCUCUCCUGGCGCUUACCUGGAUGUCUGCCGUCCUGGCCAUGACAGAUCGCCGCUCCGUCCUCUUCCAGGCACUCUUUGCCGUUUUCAACUCUGCACAAGGCUUUGUCAUCACCGCUGUGCACUGCUUCCUGCGCCGAGAGGUCCAGGAUGUGGUAAAGUGUCAGAUGGGUGUGUGUCGGGCUGAUGAGAGUGAAGACUCCCCAGACUCGUGCAAGAACGGGCAGCUGCAGAUCCUGUCAGACUUUGAAAAGGACGUGGAUCUGGCUUGUCAGACAGUUCUGUUCAAGGAGGUCAACACCUGCAACCCGUCCACCAUUACCGGCACUCUGUCCCGCCUGUCUCUGGAUGAGGAUGAGGAGCCCAAGUCCUGUCUCGUGGGUCCUGAGGGUGGCCUCAGCUUCUCACCACUGCCUGGGAACAUCCUGGUACCCAUGGCAGCCUCACCAGGUCUAGGGGAGCCACCACCACCCCAGGAGACCAACCCUGUGUACAUGUGUGGGGAGGGUGGCCUGCGGCAGUUGGACCUUACAUGGAUACGGCAGAGUGAACCAGGCUCUGAGGGGGACUACAUGGUUCUGCCCCGGCGGACUUUGAGCCUGCAGCCUGGUGGUGGGGGUACAGCGGGUGAGGAGGCCCCAAGGGCCCGGCCUGAGGGGACCCCCCGGCGGGCUGCCAAAACGGUAGCCCACACUGAAGGCUACCCCAGCUUCCUGUCUGUGGAGCACUCGGGUCUAGGGCUGGGCCCUGCCUAUGGGUCUCUCCAGAACCCGUAUGGAAUGACCUUCCAACCACCACCACCAACACCCAGCGCCCGCCAAGUACCAGAGCCAGGAGAACGUAGCCGGACCAUGCCCCGUACAGUGCCUGGUUCCACCAUGAAGCUGGGCUCCCUUGAGGUGAGGGGCUAUGGAAAAUAGGGAGGGGAAUCUACCUACUGUGUACCUGACAUCAUGUCUAAGUCAUGGGCUGCAGUCAGGAAGGGACAGCUAUCAGUCUCCCCCAGAGCAGUGCUGGGGGCUCUCAUACCAGUGUGUAUCCUUCCUUCUGCCGGGGCUCACAGAGCUCAGCUCCCAGGAAAGUCUGGAUUGUCUGAAUGUUUCAAAUGGGUGAAGCCUCAUGAGUCCAUUCACUUAGAGUUCUGGUACCCACUCUGGGGUGACUGGUCAGGGUGAGUCCUCCAUUACUGCAACCAUGGCUCAGGUGCCCAAUUGGUAAGGAAGAGGCGGAGCCUCUUCAGCCUCUGCAGCCUGUGGCUCUGAGUCAGGUCUGGAGUUGCUGACCAGCAAUGAGCUGUUGACCACACUGCACCGUCUCUCUGAGCCUCGGCUUCCUGUGUGUAAGUGGGGAUAGCCUGCAGAAUGGGGUGAUAUAGGUCUUUGAUUCCUGUGUGGAAUAAGUAGACAGUGCCAGAAAAUUGGAAGAUGCUGUUAUCACAGAAAUUGACUCAGGGUGCUGUCCUUGGCCUCCGGUGGGAAAAUAGAAGCCCCUCUGUCUCCUCUGCCCUGUCCCUUACAGAUCAUCGCUGGGGACACAUAGAUUAGUAGAAGCCCAAAGUAGAACUCCAGGGUAUUCUAGAAAUCUAAUUGAAGGGAUGAGGGGGAUGUGGCUAAGGAAAGAGGUUGGAAGUCCCAGCUUCUACACAAUUAGCUGCUUGUGUCUAGCCUGGAAAAGUUGCCCCCUGUUCUCUGCACAAAGACAAUUAAGUUAGCAGCUAGAGAGGUCACACAGUUUAGCUUUGUGCCUAAAAUGUUCCUCGAACAUUUGGUGCCUGCUCCUGCCACACAGAUGGCAAUAAAACAGAGAGGCGUCCCCAAAGACAGAAAAGACGACAGAAACAGAGAUGGCAUCAGUGACGGGAGGCAGUGUGAUUAGUGUCGGGGUAGGUUUGGUUCUGUGGCACCUGCCCGUGGCCAGACCACAUGGGAGGGGCCAGUGCUUGGCUUCUUGUGUGGGAAGUAGUCAUCAAUGGCAGAAGCCUGAGGGGUCAAGGAUAGUGUCUAGAAUAGGACAGACCCAGUGGAGGCAUAGGUGUGGGUCUGCUGAGCCCCUGAGCACUAAUGGGUAAGAAUGCCUGUAGAAAUAGAGACGAAGCUAGGGAUAGGCAAAGCAUGGUGAUGGGAAAGAAGACUGGAGGCAGAGCAGGCUAGAAGGCAGGAGGAGAACCGAGAGAGUGGAGUCAGGUUGGGUCUUAACAAAAUCCACGCACAUGCUCUUAACAUCACCUCUGCGGGCCUGGGGCCAAGUAGCAAGUCCCUUCUCCUUCCCUCCCUGGGUCUCAGUUUCCCCACCUAGCUGGAACAGGUGGCCUUGGUCUUGUGAGUUUUCUCCAUGCCAGCGUUCUAAGACUGAAGCCUCCUUGAGUGGCAUUGGAUGUCACCGAGCUUGUUGGGGCCUUGAAGGUGACCUUGGCCAGGCGAGGGUCAGAAGAGCACAAAGAAGCAGGCAGUCAAAAGAGGCAAGCGAAAGAAGCUUCGGUAUUCGGACUUGGACUUUGAGAAGGUGAUGCACACUCGGAAACGGCACUCGGAACUCUACCACGAACUCAACCAGAAGUUCCACACUUUCGACCGCUACCGUAGCCAGUCCUCAGCCAAGGAGAAACCCAGCCCCCCCGGGGGACGCCCUGGCUUGUCCCAGCACAGGAGGCAUCAAAGCUGGAGCACCUUCAAAUCUAUGACACUGGGCUCACUGCCCCCCAAGCCCCGAGAACGGCUGGCCCUGCACCGGACAGCAGCCUGGGAGCCCACAGAACCGCCAGACGGCGACUUCCAGACAGAGGUGUGAGUGCCACGCCGGACUGCCCACUGCACAGAAAUAUAUAUCUAUUUUCACACUCCACUUUGGAACUACCAGGAGCCAGCGCCCCUCCCCCUCCCGAGGCUGGGCAGGAGGCGCAGAGGACUCAGCCUGGCUGGGGGCAGCCAGACUGGCAGGGCCUGGGGGGCCAGGGCCCCUCCUUGUUCUCAGAGGUCCCUUAGCCACCCACUGGAGCCUCAUCUUUGCCCCGGCCUGUCUGUCCCUGUCCUGGGCUGGGGAGGGGGGAGGGAAACUUUGUUGGGAAUAAACUUCACUCUGUGGA